rnacentral:rRNA from 1 species
UAAUACGUAGGUGGCGAGCGUUGUCCGGAAUUACUGGGCGUAAAGGGCGCGCAGGCGGUUCGUUAAGUCUGGGGUGAAAUCCUUCGGCUCAACCGGAGGGGGACCCUGGAUACUGGCGGGCUUGAGUGUGGGAGAGGGAAGCGGAAUUCCACGUGUAACGGUGAAAUGUAUAGAUAUGUGGAGGAACACCGGUGGCGAAGGCGGCUUCCUGGACCAUAACUGACGCUGAGGCGCGAAAGCUGGGGGAGCGAACAGG